rnacentral:tRNA from 1 species
GGCCCUAUCGUCUAGCCUGGUCUAGGACAUAUGGUUCUCAGCCAUAAGACAGGGGUUCAAAUCCCCUUGGGGCUACCA